GUAACGCAUCCUAUAAAUUGCUUUGCAGCAGGAGACGAGUUCCUUUUAGCUCGGUAGUCUGUCGUGUUGGGAGGCUGACGGAGAGAACACGGACAGAACACGGACAUUGGAAUGACCUUGUUGCUGAAAGUGAUGGGGAGACAGUCUCCUACAGUUUGUGCUUCCCCCUCUGGGACAUGAGGUGCUGGAGAAGACCUUAGGCCAGCUGGGUCUGCUCACUGUCCUGGCUUUCAGCACUGAUGAAACCACAUAAUGGUUCUCCUGCAUGGACAUACAGCCUCGGUGGCGCAGGCUUCAGCAGAGAUCAACAACAGAAGGGUCCCAGUGACAGCAGGAACAUGAGACACUAAUGAACAGUGGGUUCUCCUGCAUGGACAUACAGCCUCGGUGGCGCAGGCUUCAGCAGAGAUCAACAACAGAAGAAUGGUGACCCCAUCCCAGAGAUGCAAACUGAGGCGUUCAGCAGCCUGUCACUACCCAUGAGUGAGCAGCUGAGAGCGCGCUGUCUGUGCUGGGAUCUGUUCUAAAUGCAGCUGUAUCUUCUACAAUGUACUCAAUAAAUAAAAACUCCAUAACUACACAA